UACGUAGGGUGCGAGCGUUGUCCGGAAUUAUUGGGCGUAAAGAGCUCGUAGGCGGUUUGUCGCGUCUGCUGUGAAAACCCGAGGCUCAACCUCGGGCCUGCAGUGGGUACGGGCAGACUAGAGUGCGGUAGGGGAGAUUGGAAUUCCUGGUGUAGCGGUGGAAUGCGCAGAUAUCAGGAGGAACACCGAUGGCGAAGGCAGGUCUCUGGGCAUUAACUGACGCUGAGGAGCGAAAGCAUGGGGAGCGAACAGG
rnacentral:rRNA from 1 species